GAUGAACGCUGGCGGCGUGCUUAACACAUGCAAGUCGAACGGAAAGGCUCAAGCUUGCUUGGGUACUCGAGUGGCGAACGGGUGUGUAACACGUGGGUGAUCUGCCCUGCACUUCGGGAUAAGCCUGGGAAACUGGGUCUCAUACCGGAUAGGACCCCUUCUUGGGUGUUGUGGCGGAGAGAUUUGUCGGUGUGGGUUGAGCUCGCUGCCUAUCAGCUUGUUGGUGGGGUGAUGGCCUACCAAGUCGUCGACGGGUAGCCGGCCAGAGAGGGUGUACGGGAUCCGUGGGACCGAACCCGGGCACAGGCUUGUGUUCUUAGCAGCAGGGGGAGAGUUUGAACUAUGUGCGCAAGCGCAGUGCUGAGAGGAGUUGUAGGGGAUAAAGGCAUUAUGGUUGUGAAAUCCUUCCGGCAAGGACGACGCCUUUUAUGGCGGUACCUGGAGAAGAAGCACCGGCUAACUAGGUG
rnacentral:rRNA from 1 species